rnacentral:siRNA from 1 species
UAUUGGGUCCGGCCGAUGUG